rnacentral:rRNA from 1 species
AGUGAACGCUGGCGGCAGGCCUAACACAUGCAAGUCGAACGGCAGCACAGUAAGAGCUUGCUCUUACGGGUGGCGAGUGGCGGACGGGUGAGGAAUACAUCGGAAUCUACUUUUUCGUGGGGGAUAACGUAGGGAAACUUACGCUAAUACCGCAUACGACCUACGGGUGAAAGCAGGGGAUCUUCGGACCUUGCGCGAUUGAAUGAGCCGAUGUCGGAUUAGCUAGUUGGCGGGGUAAAGGCCCACCAAGGCGACGAUCCGUAGCUGGCCUGAGAGGAUGAUCAGCCACACUGGAACUGAGACACGGUCCAGACUCCUACGGGAGGCAGCAGUGGGGAAUAUUGGACAAUGGGCGCAAGCCUGAUCCAGCCAUACCGCGUGGGUGAAGAAGGCCUUCGGGUUGUAAAGCCCUUUUGUUGGGAAAGAAAAGCAGCAGGUUAAUACCCCGCUGUUCUGACGGUACCCAAAGAAUAAGCACCGGCUAACUUCGUG